rnacentral:rRNA from 1 species
GAUGAACGCUAGCGGCAGGCUUAACACAUGCAAGUCGAGGGGUAGUUUACUUCGGUAAAUGAGACCGGCGCACGGGUGCGUAACGCGUAUGCAAUCUACCUUGUACAGGGGGAUAGCCCAGGGAAAUUUGGAUUAAUACCCCAUAGUAUUAUGAUGUGGCAUCACAUUAUUAUUAAAGUUCCAACGGUACAAGAUGAGCAUGCGUCCCAUUAGCUAGUUGGUGUGGUAACGGCAUACCAAGGCAACGAUGGGUAGGGGUCCUGAGAGGGAGAUCCCCCACACUGGUACUGAGACACGGACCAGACUCCUACGGGAGGCAGCAGUGAGGAAUAUUGGGCAAUGGUCGCAAGACUGACCCAGCCAUGCCGCGUGCAGGAUGACGGUCCUAUGGAUUGUAAACUUCUUUUAUACACCAAGAAAAACACCCACGUGUGGGUGCCCGACGGUAGUGUAUGAAUAAGCAUCGGCUAACUCCGUGCCAGCAGCCGCGGUAAAU